AUUGAACGCUGGCGGAAUGCUUUACACAUGCAAGUCGAACGGCAGCACGGACUUCGGUCUGGUGGCGAGUGGCGAACGGGUGAGUAAUACAUCGGAACGCGUCCUGUAAUGGGGGAUAACCUGGCGAAAGCCAGGCUAAUACCGCAUACGUCCUGAGGGAGAAAGCGGGGGAUCGCAAGACCUCGCGUUAUAGGAGCGGCCGAUGUCGGAUUAGCUAGUUGGUGGGGUAAAGGCCUACCAAGGCGACGAUCUGUAGCGGGUCUGAGAGGACGGCCCGCCACACUGGGACUGAGACACGGCCCAGACUCCUACGGGAGGCAGCAGUGGGGAAUUUUGGACAAUGGGCGCAAGCCUGAUCCAGCAAUGCCGCGUGUGUGAAGAAGGCCUGCGGGUUGUAAAGCACUUUCAGUGGGGAAGAACAGAUUCGGGUCAAUACCCCGGAGCCCUGACGUUACUCGCAGAAUAAGCACCGGCUAACUCUGUGCCAGCAGCCGCGGU
rnacentral:rRNA from 1 species